GAUGAACGCUGGCGGCGUGCCUAAUACAUGCAAGUCGAGCGAACGGACGAGAAGCUUGCUUUUCUGAUGUUAGCGGCGGACGGGUGAGUAACACGUGGAUAACCUACCUAUAAGACUGGGAUAACUUCGGGAAACCGGAGCUAAUACCGGAUAAUAUUUUGAACCGCAUGGUUCAAAAGUGAAAGACGGUCUUGUUGUCACUUAUAGAUGGAUCCGCGCUGCAUUAGCUAGUUGGUAAGGUAACGGCUUACCAAGGCAACGAUGCAUAGCCGACCUGAGAGGGUGAUCGGCCACUAUAGAACUGAGACACGGUCCAGACUCCUACGGGAGGCAGCAGUAGGGAAUCUUCCGCAAUGGGCGAAAGCCUGACGGAGCAACGCCGCGUGAGUGAUAAUGGUCUUCGGAUCGUAAAACUCUGUUAUUAGGGAAGAACAUAUGUGUAAGUAACUGUGCACAUCUUGACGGUACCUAAUCAGAAAGCCACGGCUAACUACGUG
rnacentral:rRNA from 1 species